GACGAACGCUGGCGGCGUGCUUAACACAUGCAAGUCGAACGGAAAGGCCCUGCUUUUGUGGGUGCUCGAGUGGCGAACGGUGAGUAACACGUGAGUAACCUGCCCUUGACUUUGGGAUAACUUCAGGAAACUGGGGCUAAUACCGGAUAGGAGCUCCUGCUGCAUGGUGGGGUUGGAAAGUUUCGGCGGUUGGGAUGGACUCGCGGCUUAUCAGCUUGUUGGUGGGGUAGUGGCUUACCAAGGCUUUGACGGGUAGCCGGCCUGAGAGGGUGACCGGCCACAUUGGGACUGAGAUACGGCCCAGACUCCUAC
rnacentral:rRNA from 1 species